CGAACCAGGGACUGUAGUGACACCUCUUGCAUUGAGAUGCAGUGCCUUAGACCGCUGCGCCACUCGGGAGCACUCAUGACAUAGUGUGCUCUGCUGUAUGUCUUUGCUAUGCGUUGUUUGCAUAGCUAAAAUGUCACCAUGCUUAGUUUUCCCAGAAAUACUGUAGGCACGAUCUUUAUAGCUGGAACCUUUGCUUUACCCUUCGUUAGUGUUUCACUUUGGCCUAGCUGAUGUGAACAACCAUAUAGCAGUUAACUUCAAGGGCAAUUGUCCUCAUUUAACAAAUUCACAGGUCUCCCUGUUCCAACAUUAGCCUACACUCUCAUGUUAGGACAUCUUCUUUGCUGACCUUUCAAAAACUGUAUGUUGUUGAACAUUUACAUUGAAAACAAACUAACCCAGUUGUUUUCUUCUCUGUUUUCCAGCACAGGUGUUUUUAUUUGCACCAGCCCUAUAAAACAUUAUAUACACUGCCCUGAUGAGAAGCGUGCCUGGAUAGAGAAACACCUGAGCUAUGACUUCUUGGAGCAGAUCAUCCUGACCUGAGACAAGACCAUGGUGACUGGGGACAUCCUCAUAGAUGACACGCCGGACAUCCUAGGUGUAGAGCCCAACCUGGGAGCACAUCCUGUUCACUGCCUGCCACAACAAAAACGUAACCCCCAGCUCCAGCCAGCGCCUGCUCUCCUGGGCCGAUGACUGGAGGGCCAUCCUGGAGAGCAAGAGGCACUGAACCCUUAAGCACACACCAACCUCCCCUUCUCCACCCUGAUGACCUACACUACAUUGGGGUUCAACUGCUAGAGUGAAUACCUCCACUAACUUGUCCAACUUGAAGUUAAGUGAGUAUUAAUCUGUUUGACCACUAGGGGGCACACAUAGACUGAAGCAUGAGGUAGACAUUUGUGGUGUGCCGAUCUCAUCCUACUCGUAUUCGUAAUUGUAUACAUUUUAUCACACAUCARACUCGUAAUCGGAUUUACUCGUGAUCGGAAAACCCAGAAGUGCGCUUUAAAUGCUGGUAAAGRCUAUACCUUCAGGGCGCAUUACUGCGCUAUCACUCAAAUGUGCAUCGUUAUGCCCCUUCACUCAUUCAUGCACACAUUGUUAAAUGACCCAGACAGAUGAAAAUGCACAUGAUUUACUUACCUAGUCCUAUUCAAUUAUCAAUGAAACAGGCUAAUAAAUAGCCUAAUGCAUGACUGGCUACUAUUGCCUGCAUUUAUUCCAGACACAGGUUUAGAUGAAGGUAACGCUAGGCUAAUUCGCUUGCCCCAUAUAUUGUUUAACUUUCGAGAGGAGCAAAACUUUUCCCUCCCGACACUUAUGCCACAACAUUUGUGCAAUCAAAAUAAACAAUCUACAUUUGUCAUUUUAUUUUCGACUGAUCUGUUGCUCGGUAAACUUGUCUGGGCUAGAGUAAAUAAUAAUAGCAAGCGUGGGUUUGGAUCACGAUUUAAUGACAGACGUCGUCAGCGAUGGAAUAUAUGGACAGACAAAGUAGGCCUACUAAACAACCYUAUGGCCUCAGKAAAGUCGACAGGACAUAARUAGCUAUGGAUUCUGAUUCAUACGCAAUGUUUGGAGGAGGGGAGUUUUCGAUCACAAAUAAUUACAAAAAAUACUUAUUUUUUUCAUAAUCGAAUUUGGAAAAUGUAUCUCUAUUACGGUACUCGUUUUGUCCGAGUACUCGGCACAUCACUAGUAAAAAAUAAUGAAAAUGAUUUUACUGUUUUMACUGUUUUCAGAGUUUACUGUUUUUACACACUCGUUAUAGUUGUUUGGGUAUCUAUUAUCAGUUGUCUGUAUGGUUUUGGAAAGUUUUUCAGCCUGUGUUUUGACAAUUUGGGAGAAUAGAGUAUAAUUUCAAAGGGAUAAAAUUAUCCAUUUUAAAAGUGGUUUAGUGUGGUGUGCACUUUAACCAUCGAUUAAGCACCAUUCCUUAUCAACUGACAGAGAGACUUACUAUCACUCCACCCAAAGGCACACAUCAUUGCAACAUGUUUAAAUAGUCACCACUGUCAAUCACCUGGAAUAUAAACCACACGCAUAAACAUUUUGUAUGUUGACAAGGACAUUGGCCCGAGGACCAUAGGGCUCUGUUUUAAAUGUACUGUAUGGGAAUGACUCCAUAUUGUAAAUGUUGUUUUCCACCAUUGUGCCAACAUACUGUAGAUCAAAUGGUAGCAUAUAUAUAUUUUUUCAACCUAGUUUAGGUCGAUUWUAUAGAGGGUUACAUAAAUUAAUAUGUUUUCAAGCUGCACCCARAGCUUAUGUAAUUAUAUGCGUCCUUACCAAUCCACAUGCAGGUAUAAGGAAUGACAGAUAUAACUAGGUGGCAUGAUUUAAAAUGCAUGURAAAUAUAUAACAAUUAUUAAAGUUCAAGAAAGUGAAUAUACCACAUUUUUUUGAAUACACAUUAUACAUCACAAAUGUUUUAUUUCUACAUUGUCAUUCAUCUGAGCGUAACUUAGUUGCAUUAGUCUUUAACAUGUCUUAUUGUUAGUGAGACCAAAAAAAACUUWACCUCAAAAUAUCCUAUACCCUCUGCUGUGAACAAGUAUGGUCAAGCUCUUCCAURAAAAAGCAUGUAUAUCUCUWUGCAGGCCUUGCAGUAUAUUCACAAAGUGGUCUAGUGAAGAACCUAUGAUCAAGUUGCCUAUAUUAACAAAGAWCAACACUGAUUGCGAGGCAACAACUAAACGGGUAACCAUUUUGCGCUAUUUGUUGCAAUGMUGUCAGCUGCUUCCUAAAAUGUGGUCGCUGGCAGCAUUGUCAAUGGCCUAUCAAGCUUCUUAAAUGUUUCAUCCAUCACUCAUACUGAGAGGAUUUACUGUACAGUACUUACACCUAGCUGAAUGUCUCUAYCUUCUAAUUCAGUUUUACAAAAUCAUUUGAAAUUGGUGCUAAAAWGUUGUUCAUUGCUAGUUCACCUAUUGUGAGUGUCCUUUCCCCCAGUGAUUCACAGAGCGGGCAUAGCAAGCUCUGGCCUGACCUCUAUACGGCUCUGGUUCUAACUGUUUUCAGUCUAACCGUAUCAGCAUGAUGUUGUAGCUAACUCAUUUGAAUCUUGUUUCACACAAUGCCUUUGUACCAAUGCCCCCUCCUUUCCUCUCCUCCUAUCUCUGAUGUUAAUCAGAUUGUAAAAGCACUGGUAGGCUUUUCUUGUAUUGAUUUUUAACCUUCCAAGUGUCUUUACAGUUGUCAUGAAGGGAAGGAGAUUAGGAAAAUAAUGUUGUCAAGACUGUUGGACAACAAGUGUUGUUGUUCACACAUGAUUGCCCUGAUGAUGACUGUCUAUGGGGCGAGUUAGGGUUAAGCGAUGUGUGUGUCCACUGUCCAGUCAACCCCUGCAUCUCACAAAGCCUCUUCAUGUCACUGCAUCUUGUCAAUGAUUGUCUCGUGUCUUUGGUGUUGAAUAAUAUGCCAAUGUGUUUUUUUGGAGAACAGAAAAUKUACCAAAUGUUGCCAUUAACAACAGAUUGAAUAAAGAAUGCAACAUGUUGAAAAUA